rnacentral:misc_RNA from 1 species
UCAAACUUGGUCAUUUAGAGGAAGUAAAAGUCGUAACAAGGUUUCCGUAGGUGAACCUGCGGAAGGAUCAUUAUUGAUUAAACUUGAUGGAUUGUUGCUGGCUCUGUAAAGGGCACUGUGCACGUCUAUCAUUUUUAAAUAUCCACCAAUGUGCACUUUGGCAUAGAUAUCUGAAGAGGGGGAAUUGCUGUUGUAAAGCGGCUCUUUCUGUUUUGUUUCAGAGUCUAUGCAAAUUUAUAAACUCUAAUGUAUGUUAAUGAACGUGUAUCAAAGGGCUUGAAAACCCUUAUAGAUAUUUAUACAACUUUCAGCAAUGGAUCUCUUGGCUCUCGCAUCGAUGAAGAACGCAGC